GGGAAGAUGGCUCAGUGGUAGAGCACUUGCCUUGCAUGCAUGAGGUCCUGGGUUCGAUUCCUCAGUACCCCA
rnacentral:tRNA from 1 species